rnacentral:lncRNA from 1 species
UGAGAAAACCUGGGGCCCAUUGCCUAUCCUCUUUUAUUAUUUUUCAGUAUCCUAACUGAGGACUCCUUGAGGAACAAUAUUAUCUUUUUCAUAAACCAAGAGCCUGGCCCAUAACAGAUGCUCAAGAUAUGUUUGUGGGAAUAAAGGAUUUUCUAAGAUGGAGAUCAUCGUUGGUCUUCGCCACGGACUUGGUUAGGGUGACUGAGGCAUAAAAAUGAUCAAAGACAGAAAAACACCCAAUGGGAAAUGGAGAAGAUGGUCUACUGCAGGUGUUCAUCCCGAGAACGCUGUGUGGUACACCCCAGCAGGCCGAUCCCCCAAUCUCUCCCCCUGCGGAUGCAACCCAGGACAAUCCUCAAGGACCAGCUCCGUUAUACAGAUGUGUAGACGGAGAAGUCAACCGGUGUAUUCCGCUUCGGGCAAGUUGACAAACCGAGUUCGUUUCAUCCUCCGCCUAAGCCCGCGACAGUGGGUCUGUACAUAACGAGGAAAGUAGCCGUGCCUCAGUUCUGGAUCUGAAUCAUUUAGCUAAAGGUAUUUUCUGUUGGUAAUAAGAUUUGAGAAAUUUUUCCUUUGAGUGGAAUCUCAGACCUCUCUCUCACGCUACCUUUCCCGUACCAGGGCUUGGGAGAGAAAAUAGAAUUCUCUGGGAAAAGCAGUAACUUAAGAUACCAGUUGGUUGACCGUUGCCCUGGAUUUGAUUCACUAGGCUAAGCACCUUCUGUGUGAACUGCAGAGGGUACAAGACUGCGAAGCGUGUGCGGUUUUUCACGUUUGGUGGUCUAAGCAAGGUAGAGAUGGUCCAGCAGAGCAACAGAGGUCUUGAACUCUGCUUUGUUUGGGGUUAAUGUUCACAAACCACAGGAUAUGCAAAGACAGCAGUCACUGGAUGCUUUUUACCUCGGGGCAAAAAUACCCAAGGAUACCAGCAUCUUCCUUAUAUCCCAGUGGCUCAAAAUAAUAUUUUCGUUACAGUGUCAGUCCCUAGUAGACCUCCCAGUUCUUCUUGCCGGCCUUUCUCUAAUACCUGCGGUACCAGGUUCCUUGAGCUCGUCGCUGAAACUCUGAGCUUUCCAGAUAAAUUCUACCAAAGGGAGGAACUGGGCAGGGAAAUGGUAAAUAUCAUCGAUGUCCGUGAAGUUUGCAGAGCUGAACGAAGAGGACAUGGCUGGGGACUCUGGUCACACUUGCUCUCCCUGGGUCAUUUGAAUGUAGGGAAGGCACUUGGCCAUGUUUCUGCAAAGCAAGAGAAAUCUGAUUUGCCCUGUGUCCUGAGGAGAGAGGUUAGUUGCAACAUUUUGAGUAUUCGAAGAUACUAAUUUUUCCCUUAGAGGGGAGCCGAAGGACUAAAUCAUCAUCUACUUGGGCAUCACCUGCUUGGGGUGGGUGUGUGUGUUGGCAACUCACGGAGUCUCCCCAGAAGGUUCCACUCGAAAGGGUUUCCUUUUGAAAGGACUGGCCUGAAUGGGAACUCACAUCUCCUU